GAUGAACGCUGGCGGCGUGCCUAAUACAUGCAAGUCGAGCGAAGCGGGGACGGGUGAGUAACACGUGGAUAACCUCCUAUAAGACUGGGAUAACUUCGGGAAACCGGAGCUAAACCGGAAAGUGAUCGGUGGAGCUUCGCUGGAUUAGCUAGUUGGUAAGGUAACGGCUUACCAAGGCAACGAUGCAUAGCCGACCUGAGAGGGUGACCGGCCACACUGGAACUGAGACACGGUCCAGACUCCUACGGGAGGCAGCAGUAGGGAAUCUUCCGCAAUGGGCGAAAGCCUGACGGAGCAACGCCGCGUGAGUGAUGAAGGUCUUCGGAUCGUAAAACUCUGUUAUUAGGGAAGCGGUACCUAAUCAGAAAGCCACGGCUAACUACGUGCCAGCAGCCGCGGUAAUUC
rnacentral:rRNA from 1 species